rnacentral:rRNA from 1 species
UACGAACAGUACGGGUGUUAUUCGGAAUUAUUGGGCGUAAAGGGUACGUAGGUUGCCGAUUAAAAAGUGAAAUGAAAUACUAGGGUUAUAACCUUAGAAGGAGUUUCUUUAGAUUAUUCGGCUUUGAGUUAAGGAGAGGUUAGAAGAAAUUCUAGUGGAGGGGUAAAAUCCUGUCAUAUUAGAAUGAAUACCAAUGGCGAAAGCAUCUUUCUGGCUUUAACUGACGCUGAGGUACGAAAGCAUGGGGAGCAAACGGG